CUCUCAUUUUCUCUUGCUGCCGCGAUGUACGAAGUUCCUUUUGCCUGCCGCGAUGAUUUUGAGGCCUCCCCAGCCAUGUGAAACUGAUUGAAUUCACAGGUCCAUGUUGUAUUUCGUUGUCAUGUCUCCUUGGUUGGCAAUAUAUGAACGUAUCUCAGUCGUGGAAGACAUUGACACUUUUGAAGAGUACAGGCAAAAGAGCCAUAUCCAUUUUCAGAAAUGUCGAAGAUUAUGAAAGAGAAAUACAUGGAAAAUUAUCAAGAAACACUUAUUAACGAUGUAGAAGCUUGUCAUUCUUUCAUUGUUUCAGAAUGUCAGAAAAUCAUAUUUAUUCUGGCUUAUACUGUUAAUUGAUAUGAAAGGUAAUUAACAAUUUCUCUGUGGUUUACUUAGAGUAGUAGGAAAAAUAUCAAAUAUUGGUCUUUGCCACCUUCCCUAUGUGUCCUUGUUCUUGGUAUGGAAUCCUUUAAUUAUUUAGUAGAGAGAUUGUCACAAUUAUAAGCACAGAAGUAUCUUUGAUUUUACAUUGCAGCUGUUCCAGCUACGUUAUGAGGGGCUCAGCUCAAGGGGCUCCAGGUCCCAUUAUCUGGGCAAUGGAAAAGUCCAUUCUUAUUCAGCCACGGUGUACUUAGGAUCCUUAAGAGAAGCUGUGAUGUGUUUAAGGUCAAAAAGCCUUGUUUCAUCAUCCUAACCAGCAGUUUUACCAUAAUACAACCUUGAGAGGCUUAUUUUGAAGGUCUUUCAGCACUUUAUGAAAACCUCUUAAAAAAUCUCUUUGUUAUAUUUUAAGUGUUAUUAUCUUUUUAUU